rnacentral:rRNA from 1 species
GGAGAAGUCGUAACAAGGUUUCCGUAGGUGAACCUGCGGAAGGAUCAUUGUCGAGACCGAAAUACAUACCGAGCGAUUAGGAGAACCCGUGAAAUGAGCAAACGGCCAUCCUGGUCGUAGCCUUCAUCUCCUUGGGGAGGGGGGAUGGAUGAAACACAAAUCGGCGCAGCAUUGCGCCAAGGGACGACUGAAAGCACGAGCCCCACGUCGGGCUCGGUGGUGUGGGGUGCUGUUGCACGCCAUGCGGAUGGACACGACUCUCGGCAAUGGAUAUCUUGGCUCUCGCAUCGAUGAAGAGCGCAGCGAAAUGCGAUACGUGGUGCGAAUUGCAAAAUCCCGUGAACCAUCAAGUCUUUGAACGCAAGUUGCGCCCGAGGCCAACCGGCCAAGGGCACGUUCGCCUGGGCGUCAAGCGUUGCGUCGCUCCGUGCCAGCGCCAAUGGGCGUGUCGGCCGUGGCUCGGAUGUGCAGAAUGGCUCGUCGUGCCCAUCGGCGCGGCGGGUCAAAGAACGAGCUUCGACUCGCUGGUCGCGAACAACAAGGGGGGUGAAAUGGUGUGCAACCUGCGUUGUCUCGUGCCGGCCUGAAAGACGGAUUGUUCCUUCAAUGUGAUCCGACCCAAAAGCCGAUCGACAUGCGGCGGCUUGGAAUGCCACCCCUGGACGGGCGAGGAC